rnacentral:rRNA from 1 species
GAUGAACGCUAGCUACAGGCUUAACACAUGCAAGUCGAGGGGCAGCAUGGUCUUAGCUUGCUAAGGCCGAUGGCGACCGGCGCACGGGUGAGUAACACGUAUCCAACCUGCUGUCUACUCUUGGACAGCCUUCUGAAAGGAAGAUUAAUACAAGAUGCCAUCAUGAGUCCGCAUGUUCACAUGAUUAAAGGUAUUCCGGUAGACGAUGGGGAUGCGUUCCAUUAGAUAGUAGGCGGGGUAACGGCCCACCUAGUCUUCGAUGGAUAGGGGUUCUGAGAGGAAGGUCCCCCACAUUGGAACUGAGACACGGGUCCAAACUCCUACGGGAGGCAGCAGUGGGGAAUAUUGGGCAAUGGGGGCAACCCUGACCCAGCGACGCCGCGUGGGUGAAGAAAUCCUUCGGGACGUAAAGCCCUGUUGUGUGGGAAGAUAAUGACGGUACCACACGAGG